CAGAGUGAGGGCUCACGCCCGACCUCCAACCCCAUGUGAACCGAACUGUUGCUUCGGGGGCGACCCUGCCGUCUCGACGACGAGCGCCCCCGGAGGCCAUCAAACACUGCAUCCGUGCGUCGGAGUAUCAAUUAAAUUGAACA
rnacentral:misc_RNA from 1 species